rnacentral:rRNA from 1 species
GAUGAACGCUAGCUACAGGCUUAACACAUGCCAGUCGAGGGGAAACGGCAUUAAGUGCUUGCACUUUUUGGACGUCGACCGGCGCACGGGUGAGUAACGCGUAUCCAACCUUCCCAUGACUAAGGGAUAACCUGCCGAAAGGCAGACUAAUACCUUAUGGUCUUCACUGACGGCAUCAGAUGUGAAGUAAAGAUUUAUCGGUUAUGGAUGGGGAUGCGUCUGAUUAGCUUGUUGGCGGGGUAACGGCCCACCAAGGCAACGAUCAGUAGGGGUUCUGAGAGGAAGGUCCCCCACAUUGGAACUGAGACACGGUCCAAACUCCUACGGGAGGCAGCAGUGAGGAAUAGUGGUCAAUGGGCGAGAGCCUGAACCAGCCAAGUAGCGUGCAGGAUGACGGCCCUAUGGGUUGUAAACUGCUUUUGUAUGGGGAUAAAGUCAAUCACGUGUGAUUGUUUGCAGGUACCAUACGAAUAAGGACCGGCUAAUUCCGUG